CCUACGUGAGGCAGCAGUGAGGAAUAUUGGUCAAUGGGCGCGAGCCUGAACCAGCCAAGUAGCGUGAAGGAUGACUGCCCUACGGGUUGUAAACUUCUUUUAUAAAGGGAUAAACUUAGACACGUGUGCCUUUUUGUAUGUAUUUUAUGAAUAAGGAUCGGCUAACUCCGUGCCAGCAGCCGCGGUAAUACGGAGGAUCCGAGCGUUAUGCGGAUUUAUUGGGUUUAAAGGGAGCGUAGAUGGGUUGUUAAGUCAGUGGUGAAAUGUUGGGGCUUAACCGUAAAAUUGCAUUUGAUACUGGUGGCCGUGAGAGUAGAUGAGGUAGGCGGAAUGCGUGGUGUAGCGGUGAAAUGCUUAGAUAUCAUGAAGAACACCGAUUGCGAAGGCAGCCUACUAAUCUGUCACUGACAUUGAUGCUCGAAAGUGUGGGUAGCAAACAGGAUUAGAUACCCGGGUAGUC
rnacentral:rRNA from 1 species